AUUGAACGCUGGCGGCAGGCUUAACACAUGCAAGUCGAGCGGAGUGAUGGUGCUUGCACUAUCACUUAGCGGCGGACGGGUGAGUAAUGCUUAGGAAUCUGCCAUUUAGUGGGGGACAACAUUCCGAAAGGAAUGCUAAUACCGCAUACGUCCUACGGGAGAAAGCAGGGGAUCUUCGGACCUUGCGCUACAUGAUGAGCCUAAGUCGGAUUAGCUAGUUGGUGGGGUAAAGGCCUACCAAGGCGACGAUCUGUAGCGGGUCUGAGAGGAUGAUCCGCCACACUGGGACUGAGACACGGCCCAGACUCCUACGGGAGGCAGCAGUGGGGAAUAUUGGACAAUGGGCGGAAGCCUGAUCCAGCCAUGCCACGUGUGUGAAGAAGGCCUUUUGGUUGUAAAGCACUUUAAGCGAGGAGGAGGCUACUAGUACUAAUACUACUGGAUAGUGGACGUUACUCGCAGAAUAAGCACCGGCUAACUCUGUGCCAGCCGCCGCCGUAACAC
rnacentral:rRNA from 1 species